UCUGUUUCAAAAUAACGAAAAUUAUUUUAGAUAGAACUGUCACGUUCUAACGGACACAGUAGUUUCAUAGUUUCUUCUAAUGUGUGAUUUUUUUUUAGAAAAUCUACCAGUUAAAAAGAAAAAAGUUUCCUUUGUCAAAGUUAACCAAAAUGACUAGUUUAUUUGAUUUAUUUAUUAUAGAGUAUAUAGUAUUUCAUUUUAAGCAAAUUCAGCAGUUUCUAUAGAAGAGUUAGUUCGUUACAAGGAGGACUAUUAAAAUUGAUUUUUACGUCGAAUAAACAAGUCAAGAUAACGACUUAUUAAAUCUAUUUAUAGGAAAAAGGAAAUUUCCAAUGCAUGAUAACCGGCUGAAUAAAAUAAAACAAACAUAUUACAAGUUUAUAGUUGAUUAAGAUUUGCACACGCGCCUACUUUAUUGCCCCAGAGGUGUACGCACAACUUUCCCGAUCAAUGAAGGAAGUUUCCCUUCACCCGGCAUUAGUUCUGCCCUUUAUCCGCCUGAACAAGAGAAGUUUUCAGCAGAUGGCGCCCAGCUAGGUGGAGGAAAACUUCCUCUAUUGUUGAAGGAAGCUGUGAUGUCAUGUGAUGUAUACAGUGAAUGUUUGUAAAGUGUCUUUAUUUGAAAUUAUCCGAUAAUAAAGCACUGACUUCAUUAAUUGUUAACUUUAACUUGGAAUUCAAUAAAUAACAUCCCAUGUAAAAGGAAUGAAACUAUUUAAAAGGACACCAAAAAAUUUUCGGAAUUAAACACGUAAAUCGCCGCUCUAGAAAAAUGAGGUAGUGUUCUUUAUGUAUGCCGACUUUGUUGUUUAAAAAAAAUUGUGAUCGAUUUGAAAAUAAUUCUCUAGGCCUAUUUUCACCUUCUCCAAAACUUCUGUUAAGUUAUUUUCAACUUAUUGUAAUAUCACUAAAAUUGAUAACUUUAUUAAUAAAAAAAAAAAUAAAACGAU